rnacentral:misc_RNA from 1 species
GCAAACUUGGUCAUUUAGAGGAAGUAAAAGUCGUAACAAGGUUUCCGUAGGUAUGUAUUACGUCGACCCUCUGUUUCCCUUUGAUAGACAUGUGCUAACGUUAUUUCUAGGUGAACCUGCGGAAGGAUCAUUACCGAGUUAGGGUCUCCUCAGGGCCCGACCUCUCAACCCCAUGUUUAUUGAACCUAUGUUGCUUCGGCGGGCCCGUCUCACGACCGCCGGGGGGACCGUAAGACGUCCUCUGGCCCGCGCCCGCCGGUGGCCAAACUUAACAAACUCUGAUCAAAUCGUGUCACUGUCUGAGUACCUUUUUAAAUUAAAGUAAAACUUUCAACAACGGAUCUCUUGGUUCUGGCAUCGAUGAAGAACGCAGC